rnacentral:rRNA from 1 species
GACGAACGCUGGCGGCGUGCUUAACACAUGGAAGUCGAACGGAAAGGCCCUUCGGGGUACUCGAGUGGCGAACGGGUGAGUAACACGUGGGUGAUCUGCCCUGCACUUUGGGAUAAGCCUGGGAAACUGGGUCUAAUACCGAAUAGGACCACGCGCUUCAUGGUGUGUGGUGGAAAGCUUUUGCGGUGUGGGAUGGGCCCGCGGCCUAUCAGCUUGUUGGUGGGGUAAUGGCCUACCAAGGCGACGACGGGUAGCCGGCCUGAGAGGGUGACCGGCCACACUGGGACUGAGAUACGGCCCAGACUCCUACGGGAGGCAGCAGUGGGGAAUAUUGCACAAUGGGCGCAAGCCUGAUGCAGCGACGCCGCGUGAGGGAUGACGGCCUUCGGGCUGUAAACCUCUUUCACCAGGGACGAAGCGUAAGUGACGGUACCUGGAGAAGAAGCACCGGCCAACUACGUG